CCUUUUAGGGAGACCGUUCCCCGAUCGAGUGAAGGCCGUUCGUGAGCCCACUCGAUUGAGGUCAACCUAGGUCGUGCGAAGAGUAUUCGGUCGUGUCUUUCAAACGAACGAGGAUUCGGAAUCUCAGUUUUCAAACAACUGAAAACUCGACGAGGCCGAAAAAACGUGGGCUAUUAGCUCAGGUGGUUAGAGCGCACCCCUGAUAAGGGUGAGGUCCCUGGUUCAAGUCCAGGAUGGCCCACCUGGUUCAGCGAACAGCGAGCAGUAAACAGUGAACAGUGAGAACUGAUGGCUGUUGUCUGGUGACUGUUAACUGAAAGAGUGGGGGUAUAGCUCAGUUGGUAGAGCGCCUGCUUUGCAAGCAGGAUGUCAGCGGUUCGAGUCCGCUUACCUCCACGCUCGUCUCGUCGCCACUCGACCCUCGAAACCCAAACGAUUCAAAUCGGAAAGGGAGUUCAGCACCCGAGAGAGCUCGGACUGCUGGACGUCCCGUCCAGUGAGAACCUUGAAAACUGCAUAGUCAUCUCUAACAAAGUAAAGCUAGGGAAAGCCGAGACCUCGCGCAUUGAGG
rnacentral:tRNA from 1 species